UACGUAGGGUGCGAGCGUUGUCCGGAAUUAUUGGGCGUAAAGAGCUCGUAGGCGGUUUGUCGCGUCGAAUGUGAAAUCCCGGGGCUCAACUCCGGGCCUGCAUUCGAUACGGGCAGACUAGAGUUCGGUAGGGGAGUCUGGAAUUCCAGGUGUAGCGGUGAAAUGCGUAGAUAUCUGGAGGAACACCGGUGGCGAAGGCGGCAUCCUGGACCGGUAUUGACGCUGAGGCGCGAAAGCCAGGGGAGCAAAGCGGG
rnacentral:rRNA from 1 species